AGUGAACGCUGGCGGUAGGCCUAACACAUGCAAGUCGAACGGCAGCACAGGAGAGCCUGCUCUCUAGGUGGCGAGUGGCGGACGGGUGAGGAAUACAUCGGAAUCUGCCCAGUCGUGGGGGAUAACGUAGGGAAACUUACGCUAAUACCGCAUACGACCUUCGGGUGAAAGAGGGGGAUCGCAAGACCUCUCGCGAUUGGAUGAGCCGAUGUCGGAUUAGCUAGUUAGCGGGGUAAUGGCCCACCAAGGCGACGAUCCGUAGCUGGUCUGAGAGGAUGAUCAGCCACACUGGAACUGAGACACGGUCCAGGCUCCUACGGGAGGCAGCAGUGGGGAAUAUUGGACAAUGGGCGCAAGCCUGAUCCAGCCAUACCGCGUGGGUGAAGAAGGCCUUCGGGUUGUAAAGCCCUUUUGUUGGGAAAGAAAUCUUUCAGGCUAAUACCCUGGGAGGAUGACGGUACCCAAAGAAUAAGCACCGGCUAACUUCGUG
rnacentral:rRNA from 1 species